CACCGGAACCGGUCCGUUCACUUCAUUUCACUGGCAGGGACGGGGGAACCAAUUCCGGUCUCCUUCGAGGCCUUGGGGUCAAGCAUCCGAUCGCGGAUGCCGGGUGCUCCCACCCGAACCCGACAGCUCACCCCGUAGACAAAGGGAGAGGUAGA
rnacentral:sRNA from 2 species